rnacentral:rRNA from 1 species
AUUGAACGCUGGCGGCAUGCUUUACACAUGCAAGUCGAACGGUAACGCGGGGGCAACCCUGGCGACGAGUGGCGAACGGGUGAGUAAUACAUCGGAACGUGCCCAAUCGUGGGGGAUAACGCAGCGAAAGCUGUGCUAAUACCGCAUACGAUCUACGGAUGAAAGCAGGGGAUCGCAAGACCUUGCGCGAAUGGAGCGGCCGAUGGCAGAUUAGGUAGUUGGGAGGUAAAGGCUCACCAAGCCUUCGAUCUGUAGCUGGUCUGAGAGGACGACCAGCCACACUGGGACUGAGACACGGCCCAGACUCCUACGGGAGGCAGCAGUGGGGAAUUUUGGACAAUGGGCGAAAGCCUGAUCCAGCCAUGCCGCGUGCAGGAUGAAGGCCUU